rnacentral:tRNA from 1 species
CCGAUGUAGUUCAAUGGUAGAACAUCAGCUUCCCAAGCUGAAUACGCGGGUUCGAUUCCCGUCAUCGGCUCCAU